GCAGGCCUCCCAUAGUUCCCAGUGUGUUGAUUUACGAUGUUUUGCAUAUACAGGUAACCCUGGAUUUACGCGAGUAUUGUGAAGAGGUCAUUGCGUAAAUCCAAAACACUGUAGUAAAUCCAACAAGAGGUAGGUUUGUAUUGCCUCCUGUGUCACUCUGACUCCUCUCCCUCUCGUGGUUCCUCCUCUGGCUGCCCUUCCCCUCGUGGUAGCACAGCAGCGAGGGUGUUGUUGAGUAGCGUGGGUACUGUAUUAUUGUUCAAGUGGCGCGCGGGAAAAACUGAGCUCAGCUGUGUGACCGUGUGAGUCCAGUUGCUUGAGACAUCUGGUGGACACUCCAGAAAAAAUAAAAAAAAAUGUGUAAAUUAAACAUUUAUUUUGAUUUUGGACCACGCGUUAUUUCAAAAACGCGUAAACCAAACUCGCGUAAAUCUACAGUUACCUGUAUUAACUCUCAUGACCUAUACAGUGAUGAUGCUCCCAGCCAGGACUGGGAUGAGGACGUCCCUGUCCACACCCUGCAGCGCAAUAAGCACACCACAUGUUGAACACUGUCACAGGUCAAGAUCUUCUCCCCGGACCUGCUGUACCGGUUGAUGUACUUGGCGGCAGUGAGUGACAUCCCCCUGUCCGUGGCCACUGACAUGCUGGAAGAGUGUGGCCUGGACUACCUCCCCAACACAGCCUGCUCGAGGGACCAUUAAGAAACAUGAUCCCCACCGACGAUCUAUUCACCCGUCUUUUGCAGCAGCAGCAGCAGCGUUGAGACGGGAUGCAGCGUGCUCUGAGGCGACCCCGGGCAGGAGGCAACAUGUGACCUCGAGCACCAGACCUUUUACCUCUAUUCAGGAGCAAUCGUGCAACUGAUGGAAGCUGGCACUGGAAGUUGCUGAUAUGUGGGCUAUGGCUGACUGGCUGGUGCUGUCUGGUCACUCAGCUCAGCAAGGGACUGGAAGCUAGAACUCUCUCUCUCUCUCUCACACAAAAAAGUAAUGUAAAAGUGUAUAAGGUCCAUUGAAAAGAAGAGAGAGAGAGAGAGCCAUCUCAUCCCCUCUCUCUCUCCCCUCAACAUCCAGGCGGCAUAUUGGGAGGGGAGGGGAAGAGAAGAGAAGGGAAGGGAAGGGAAGAAUACAAUAGCUCACUGGUGGACAGAGGAAAGAGACAAGGAAGAAGAAGAAGAGACUCGUCUCGUCUCGUCUCCCCCAGCAUCCAGGCAGCAUCUUGAAGGCCUGACUGGUUCCCUCGGCUCAGUGGUCUCGUCUCUGUCUCCCUCCCUGCAAGAGUCUGGCAGAGUUUAGUGCCAAGA